GACGAACGCUGGCGGCGUGCUUAACACAUGCAAGUCGAACGGAAAGGCCCUGCUUUUGUGGGGUGCUCGAGUGGCGAACGGGUGAGUAACACGUGAGUAACCUGCCCUUGACUUUGGGAUAACUUCAGGAAACUGGGGCUAAUACCGGAUAGGAGCUCCUGCUGCAUGGUGGGGGUUGGAAAGUUUCGGCGGGUGGGGGUGGACUCGCGGCUUAUCAGCUUGUUGGUGGGGUAGUGGCUUACCAAGGCUUUGACGGGUAGCCGGCCUGAGAGGGUGACCGGCCACAUUGGGACUGAGAGACGGACCAGACGCCAACGGGAGGCAGCAGUGGGGAAUCUUGCACAAUGGGCGGAAGCCUGAUGCAGCAACGCCGCGUGCGGGAUGACGGCCUUCGGGGUGUGAACCGCUUUCGCCUGUGACGAAGCGGGAGUGACGGUAAUGGGUAAAGAAGCACCGGCUAACUACGUG
rnacentral:rRNA from 1 species